UUCCAACUUGUGCUUUACAAAUGACUCCCCUGCUUUCUAAUCACUCCAGCCUUUUAUAGGAGUCAGAACUCCCAACAUGCACUGCAGCAUUCCCUUUAAAUUCCAGGAAGUGCUGCUGGCCUGCCUCUUAAGAGGUGCAAGCCACUACACCAGGCUGUAUCACAGGACACCAUAGAUCUCCUAAACAAACUAGGAGACAUAGGAUUGUUACCAGGGAGCACCAUUUUGGCAACAAUGGAUGUGGAAACCUUGCACACAGACAUACCCCACAAAGAUGGAGUUCCUGAAAAGUUACAACCAACCAGCAAUACUGUUGUAAGCCUGGCCAGAAAUUGGACCUACAGCAGUACCAGAAUGGAAACCUAAUUUGCAUCCCAUUAUUCUAAACUUUUCAUUGCUAUACAGGAACAGAGUUUCCAUUCCUCCUGUACCACCAAACCCCUAUUAUAUAGAUUACAUACUUGUGAUUUUUGGCAAACAAUGAGCUAAAACUGUAUUUUGUGCCUGGUCUGGAUCCUUUUGCAUAACCCAACUCCGCAUAUGUCUGUCUCUGCUUGAAAUCCAAAUUAAAAUUAUAUGUCUUUGCUUUUA